rnacentral:rRNA from 1 species
AUUGAACGCUGGCGGCAGGCCUAACACAUGCAAGUCGAACGAGUGGCAGACGGGUGAGUAAUGUCUGGGAAACUGCCUGAUGGAGGGGGAUAACUACUGGAAACGGUCGCUAAUACCGCAUACCAUCAGAUGUGCCCAGAUGGGAUUAGCUUGUUGGUGGGGUAACGGCUCACCAAGGCGACGAUCCCUAGCUGGUCUGCGAGGAUGACCAGCCAACCUGGAACUGAGACACGGGCCAGCGUCCCACGGGAGUCAGCAGGGGGGAAUAGGGCACAAUGGGCGCAAGCCGGAUGCAGCCAUGCCGCGUGGAUGAAGAAGGCCUGCGGGUUGUAAAGUACUUUCAGCGGGGAGGCGUUACCCGCAGAAGAAGCACCGGCUAACUCCGUGCCAGCAGCCGCGGUAAUUC